CGGAAAAUUGAUGCAAUACUCAGAGGGAUUUUUGUGUCUGUAAAAAUUUAAAAGUAGGUAGUAAAUGUUGAGAUGGUGUUUUGGUGGCUUGGUUAGGGGCCAAAUUUCCAAUUUCUUGUGCUCCUUAGGUGGUCACUUGAGUUUCGUGACUUGUUGCAUUGGUUUAGGCCACUUCCGCCUCUCUAUCCAUAUUUGAACUACAAGUGUAUUGAUAGUCUCUUUGGAGUCUUUUGUUUCUCCUACAGAUGAUGUGGGGUAAUUGACAAAAAAGAGAGAAGAAGAUGGGGUACAACGCGACAAAUACUCAUAUCCCUCACUACUUGUUUGCUUUUCGUGAGGGAGUCAAAAUUGUAUUCAUUGUUUCAAUGUGCUGCCUGCAAGGGACUUCAACUAAUAAUUCUUGAACUAGCUCUCAUAGGGACUUGAGCUAGCUCUGUGUUUGAUAUAUGGAUGGUUCAAAUGUAUCAACUUUCAUGCUUUAUAAUGCUUCUACAUAUUAUAUAUUGGAGGUUGGAGUCUAAUUGAAAUUUAAAUUCUUUCUAGUUUGGACGAGAAGUAUACUUGCAAACGUCUUGUAUUCCAAAGUGCAAUGUGGGUGAAGGGCUACUUAUUUGUUCAGACCCUGACAUACAAAUAGACGAAGAACAAUUGGGUGCAGGCUAUUAUAAAGUAUAUGUUGGUAAAGCAAUAAUACCCCAUGUUCUUUUGAAAAGACCUCGUCCAGGUGUAGACAUGGUUGGAGAUGCUCUUGGCCGUUAUGUUGCAUGGAAUAUCUGUGACGUGUUCGAGAAAGAGAUGAACGAUUAUUGAGUGUGUUCUUUACAAUUCGUAGUCUUUCUCUUAGAGGCUUUGUUUUAUUUUUCAUUCACUCUGGGUGUUUUAGUAUUUUUGUCAAUGUGGUUGAAAGAGAUGGAUGAUAUUGGAUUGUGUUGCUAUUAGGAAUUUGAGAAUUAUGAUUUUGUUCAACUUGGUUUUGAAUAUGGAUGAAUGGAUGAUUUCGAUACAAGAUGAUGAAUUGUGUUGC